AACGUCCUACAUACCCGGAAGGAGGAGGCCAAGCAGUCCCCAGGAGAAGGGAAGCCCUCCAGGGACUCUGCAAACAUAUUAUCAAAUAGUCAAAUACAAAAAAAAAAGAAAGAAGAAAAAGAAGAAGAAGGAGAAGGAGGAGAAGGAGAAGAAGGAGAAAGACACUGAGGAAAAGGU
rnacentral:lncRNA from 1 species